rnacentral:rRNA from 1 species
GAAGUUUGGACCGUGUCUCAGUUCCAAUGUGGCCGAUCACCCUCUCAGGUCGGCUACUGAUCGUCACCUUGGUGAGCCGUUACCCCACCAACUAGUUAAUCAGACGCAGGCCCAUCCUUAGCCGAUAAAUCUUUGGCUGCCGAAACAUGUGUUUCAACAGCAUUAUGAGGUUUUAAUCAUCGUUUCCAAUGGCUAUCCCUCUGCUAAGGGCAGGUUGCCUACGCGUUACUCACCCGUCCGCCGCUUUCCUCUGAAUCUCUUUGACGAAUCUCCAAUCAUCAGAUUCUCGCUCGACUUGCAUGUAUUAGGCACGCCGCCAGCGUUCAUCCUGAGCCAGGAUCAAACUACU